rnacentral:rRNA from 1 species
GACAGAGGAUGCAAGCGUUAUCCGGAAUGAUUGGGCGUAAAGCGUCUGUAGGUGGCUUUUUAAGUCCGCCGUCAAAUCCCAGGGCUCAACCCUGGACAGGCGGUGGAAACUACCAAGCUGGAGUACGGUAGGGGCAGAGGGAAUUUCCGGUGGAGCGGUGAAAUGCGGUAGAGAUCGGAAGGAACAUCAGUGGCGAAGGCGGCUACCUGGACAAAUACGUGACACUGAGGCGCGAAAGCGUGGGGAGCAAACAGGG